rnacentral:rRNA from 1 species
GCUUGGUGGUUAUAGCAUGAGUGAAACACACGA